rnacentral:rRNA from 1 species
CGGUGAAAUUGUAGUAUCGGUGAAGAUGCCCGUUACCCGCUGUGGGACGAAAAGACCCCGUGAACCUUUACUAUAGCUUCACAUUGUUAUUGUUUAAAAGAUGUGUAGGAUAGGUGGGAGGCUGCGAAGUUGUGUCGCCAGGCAUGAUGGAGCCAUCCUUGAAAUACCACCCUUCUUUUAAUUGGUAACUAACUCCUGCAAAGGAGGACAGUGUGUGGUGGGUAGUUUGACUGGGGUGGUCGCCUCCAAAAGAGUAUCGGAGGCUUCUAAAGGUACCCUCAGAACGGUUGGUAAUCGUUCGUAGAGUAUAAUGGCAUAAGGGUGCUUGACUGAGAGACAUACAAGUCGACCAGGUACGAAAGUAGAGCAUAGUGAUCCGGCGGUUCCGCAUGGAAGGGCCGUCGCUCAAAGGAUAAAAGGUACUCCGGGAUAACAGGCUGAUCUCCCCCAAGAG